GCGCUCGUAGCUCAGCUGGAUAGAGUACCUGGCUACGAACCAGGCGGUCAGAGGUUCGAAUCCUCU
rnacentral:tRNA from 1 species